UAUUAUUUUUUUUUAUAGUUUUGAAACGAAUAUGAAGAACGAUUGGGAUGACGAUGAUGAAUUUCUUAUGAAUCAAUUGUGUCAAAAAUGGAAAUCUUCCAAUAUGAGAUCCAAAAAAUGGGAUUUCGGGAUGCAAAGGGCACACUCAGCGAUCGCUUCAUCCAAACAAAAGAUGGCAUGGGAGUCAGCAAAUGAUAAA